UCCAAUACCAUCCUGAGAAAGAUUUGGAUAGGUAAUCAUCAUCUGAAUCUCGAUUUUUCUCCUCCUGGAUCUUGUCUCUCUCUCUCAACAAACUUUGACGAACAUGGUCUUCAUUAUCUGAGCCGCUUUUUACUUUCCGAUUCAUAAUCUCCACUGGAUGGGUAGGUGUAGACAACUUUUUUUUUUUUUUUACUGAGAUCACUCGGUGGCUUGUGCAAAAUGAGCUUUGGCUCUCUCACGUCCUUCCUCAACUCUGACACAUGAAACACAUCAUGAAAGUCUGACAGCUCUGGUGAUAACUGCAAUCUAAAAGCUAUUGCUCAAAUCAGCUCCACAAAGGUACGGUCCCAUAUACGCAGCU
rnacentral:lncRNA from 1 species